rnacentral:rRNA from 1 species
GACGAACGCUGGCGGCGUGCUUAACACAUGCAAGUCGAACGGAAAGGCCCUGCUUUUGUGGGGUGCUCGAGGGGCGAACGGGUGAGUAACACGUGAGUAACCUGCCCUUGACUUUGGGAUAACUUCAGGAAACUGGGGCUAAUACCGGAUAGGAGCUCCUGCUGCAGGGUGGGGGUUGGAAAUUUUCGGCGGUUGGGGAUGGACUCGCGGCUUAUCAGCUUGUUGGUGGGGUAGUGGCUUACCAAGGCUUUGACGGGUAGCCGGCCUGAGAGGGUGACCGGCCACAUUGGGACUGAGAUACGGCCCAGACUCCUACGGGAGGCAGCAGUGGGGAAUAUUGCACAAUGGGCGGAAGCCUGAUGCAGCAACGCCGCGUGCGGGAUGACGGCCUUCGGGUUGUAAACCGCUUUCGCCUGUGACGAAGCGUGAGUGACGGUAAUGGGUAAAGAAGCACCGGCUAACUACGUG